rnacentral:rRNA from 1 species
GGGGAAUCUUAGACAAUGGGGGCAACCCUGAUCUAGCCAUGCCGCGUGAGUGAUGAAGGCCUUCGGGUUGUAAAGCUCUUUCAGUGGGGAAGAUAAUGACGGUACCCACAGAAGAAGCCCCGGCUAACUCCGUGCCAGCAGCCGCGGUAAUACGGAGGGGGCUAGCGUUGUUCGGAAUUACUGGGCGUAAAGCGCACGUAGGCGGAUCGGAAAGUCGGGGGUGAAAUCCCGGGGCUCAACCCCGGAACUGCCUUCGAAACUAUCGGUCUGGAGUCCGAGAGAGGUGAGUGGAAUUCCGAGUGUAGAGGUGAAAUUCGUAGAUAUUCGGAGGAACACCAGUGGCGAAGGCGGCUCACUGGCUCGGUACUGACGCUGAGGUGCGAAAGCGUGGGGAGCAAAC